GGCGCCUCCAGCGUGCCUCGGUUCGCCCGGCCCGAGAGGGUCGGGGAAUCGCUGAACGGACGUCGUGCUGGGGACUGGGGAUUGGAACUGUUCCCCUCGAACGAGGAAUGCCAAGUAGGCGCGAGUCACCAUCUCGCUUCGAUUACGUCCCUGCCCUUUGUACACACCGCCCGUCGCUACUACCGAUCGAACGUCGAGGUGAGGCCGUCGGACCGGAACCUCGCGGGGCACGGCCGUCGGCGAUUCGUCGUCGGUCUCGGCUCCCGGGAUUCGGAAAGUCGGUCGAACCCCGGCGUUUAGAGGAAGUAAAAGUCGUAACAAGGUAUUC
rnacentral:rRNA from 1 species